UCCGUAGGCGGUGCGGCAAGUCGGAAGUGAAAUCUCCGGGCUUAACCCAGAGGCUGCUUCCGAAACUGCCGUGCUAGAGUGCGAGAGAGGCGAGUGGAAUUGCGGGUGUAGCAGUGAAAUGCGUAGAUAUCCGCAGGAACAUCCGAGGCGAAGGCGGCUCGCUGGAUCGCAACUGACGCUGAGGGACGAAAGCUAGGGGAGCAAACAGGAUUAGAUACCCUGGUAGUCCUAGCCCUAAACCAUCAGGACUUGGGGUUUGCCCUGUACGGGGCAAGUCCCGUAGCUAACGCGUUAAGUCCUGCGCCUGGGGAGUACGGCCGCAAGGCUGAA
rnacentral:rRNA from 1 species